UUGAAAGUGAAGUCGUAACAGGUUUCUGUAGGUGUACGUGCGGAAGGAUCAUUC
rnacentral:rRNA from 1 species